rnacentral:rRNA from 1 species
AACGAACGCUGGCGGCGUGCUUAACACAUGCAAGUCGAACGUGAAAGUGGCUUCGGCCAUGAGUAAAGUGGCAGACGGGUGAGUAACACGUGGGUAACCUACCCCUUGGCGGGGAAUAACCAUUCGAAAGGAUGGCUAAUACCGCAUAAGACCACGUCCCUGAUGGGAUGGGGUAAAAGACGCAAGUCACCGAGGGAGGGGCCCGCGGCCGAUUAGCUAGUUGGGGAGGUAAUGGCUCACCAAGGCGACGAUCGGUAGCUGGUCUGAGAGGAUGAUCAGCCACACUGGUACUUAGACACGGACCAGACUCCUACGGGAGGCAGCAGUGGGGAAUAUUGCGCAAUGGACGAAAGUCUGACGCAGCAACGCCGCGUGGGUGAAGAAGGCCUUCGGGUCGUAAAGCCCUGUCAGGUGGGAAGAAACCUGCGUAAGCAGCUGACGGUACCACCAAAGGAAGCACCGGCUAACUCCGUGCCAGCAGCCGCCGUAAUAC